rnacentral:rRNA from 1 species
UACGUAGGGUGCGAGCGUUGUCCGGAAUCACUGGGCGUAAAGGGCGCGUAGGCGGCUCAUGAAGGCUGUGGUGAAAGUCCGGGGCUCAACCUCGGAUCGGCCGUGGCGACUCGUGGGCUGGAGCACUGUAGAGGCGGGUGGAAUUCCGGGUGUAGCGGUGGAAUGCGUAGAGAUCCGGAAGAACACCAGUGGCGAAGGCGGCCCGCUGGGCAGUGGCUGACGCUGAAGCGCGACAGCGUGGGGAGCCAAACAGG